rnacentral:rRNA from 1 species
UACGGGGGGGGGCAAGCGUUGUUCGGAAUUACUGGGCGUAAAGGGCUCGUAGGCGGCCAACUAAGUCAGACGUGAAAUCCCCUCGGCUUAACCGGGGAACUGCGUCUGAUACUGGAUGGCUUGGAGGUUGGGAGAGGGAUGCGGAAUUCCAGGUGUAGCGGUGAAAUGCGUAGAUAUCUGGAGGAACACCGGUGGCGAAGGCGGCAUCCUGGACCAAUUCUGGACGCUGAGGAGCGAAAGCCAGGGGAGCAAACGGGG